UUGGUGAGAUCUUCUUAGAGAGACGUUCAUUCUACAAGAUGAAGGAAGAUGGCGGCAAUAACAGGUCUGUGAUCCCCUUAGAUGUCCUGGGCCGCACGCGCGCUACACUGACUGGGGGAGCACGUUGCUUUGUCGUACGACAACGUCCUGGGCCGGAAGGUUUGGGUAAUCGUGUGAAUACCAGUCGUGAUGGGGCUAGAUCUUUGCAAUUAUUGAUCUCCAACGAGGAAUUCCUAGUAAACGCAAGUCAUCAGCUUGCAUUGAUUACGUCCCUGCCCUUUGUACACACCGCCCGUCGCUACUACCGAUUGAAUGGCUCAGUGAGGCCUUCGGACUGGC
rnacentral:rRNA from 1 species